GUUCUAUGGAAAUUAGCUGCAUGCCACCAGUCUGAUUUGCUCCUUGGCACCAACGUCUGAUCUCUGGACACUGCUCUGUGCUGGCCACCAGUGAACUCCCCAGGACAGGGUGAGGACAAAUCACACCACAUCUAUAACAACAUCUCAGCCCAGAAAGAGCAGAGCACUGUGUAUAGGAAGGACCCCUCACCAGGGCAGAGGCGAUCUCAGCUUUCCUGGGUAUCUUGUUUGGCUCCAAUCAACAGAUGGGCUCUGAUGAGGACGCUGGGGCCAUCUGCUAUGCCUCACUUACCCACCUGAACCAAUUUGGCUCUGAGGACUCCAUCUAUGUCAACACCCAGCCCAAUCUGAAGCCCAUGCCUGACCCCCUUCUGACUGUAGAAUAUGCCAGCAUUGCUGGAACCAGACCCCAGCCCUCCAAGUUGACUGCCCUGGACAAGGAGCUCAAGAGCUAAAGACAGACUUCACUGGGCAGUGAGCACUUAGCAAAU